rnacentral:rRNA from 1 species
CGCAGGCUGAUAGCUAAACAUCUAGUAAAAGACUGAGAUAAAAAUUCUCUUUAAUCUAGAUCAACUUGCUAUCUUGAGUGUUUUGGGUGACUUAUCACAUUCUUGAAGAAAGGGUGAAAUCUGUUGAUAACUGGAAGAUGUUCAAAAGCGAAAGCAAUCGUCAAAGAAACUCUGACGCUGAGGCACUAAGGCGUGGGGAUCGAAAAGGAUUAGAGACCCUUGUAGUCCACGCACUAAACCAUGGGUGUUCAAUAUCUUGAAAAAGUUUUUAGGGAAUUUAAAGCUAACGCGUCAAACAUCCCGCCUGGGGAAUGUGGCCGCAAGGUCUAAACUCAACGGAAUUGACGGUGGCUCAUACAAGG